rnacentral:rRNA from 1 species
UGCAGUCGNNCGGGCGUAGCAAUACGUUAGUGNGCGCACGGGUGAGUAUAGUAUGGGAAUCUACCUUUUGGAGGGGGAUAGCUGCGGGAAACUGCAGGUAAGCCCGCGUACGCAAGCGGCAUGAGAGUGUCGUUUGGAAAGUGUUGGGAACAGCAAUGUCCAGCAGCCGAAAGAUGAGCCCAUAUCCCAUUAGCUAGUUGGCAGGGUAAGAGCCUACCAAGGCAGAGAUGGGUAGCUGGUCUGAGAGGACGAUCAGCCACACUGGAACUGAGACACGGUCCAGACUCCUACGGGAGGCAGCAGUGGGGAAUAUUGCGCAAUGGGGGAAACCCUGACGCAGCAACGCCGCGUGAGUGAGGAAGGCCUUCGGGUUGUAAAGCUCUUUCGGCCGGGAAGAAGGAGAUUGGGUUUAAUAGACUCAGUUUUUGAUGGUACCGGAAGAAGAANNNNNNGCAAACUUCGUGCCAGCAGCCGCGGUAAUACGAAGGGUGCGAGCGUUGUUCGGAAUUAUUGGGCGUAAAGGGUUUGUAGGCGGGAAGACAAGUCAAGUGUGAAAUGCCUGGGCUCAACCUAGGGAGUGCAUUUGAAACUGUUUUUCUUGAGUGUUAGAGAGGGUGGCGGANUUGCUGGUGUAGGAGUGACAUCCGUAGAGAUCAGCAGGAACACCGGAGGCGAAGGCGGCCACCUAGCUGACAACUGACGCUGAGGAACGAGAGCGUGGGGAGCAAACAGGAUUAGAUACCCUGGUAGUCCACGCCGUAAACGAUGAUAACUAGGUGUUGGGAAAGUGAAANUUUUUUCAGUACCGAAGCACACGCGUUAAGUUAUCNGCCUGGGGAG